AACAUCAGAGGGAAAACUCCACGCCCAUCUUCUCCAUUCAGUUUCUUGUACAAGAAAUGUGGGUGGUAAGCCCUGAGGCGGCAGAAGCCAGGCCUCACCAGAUGGUCCAUAAGAAAUGUAGGCUGGGGGAACAGGGCAUCAGUGGAAAGAGGCUGAGCUGUCUGGAGCUUGCCAGGGUCCACACAGGACAGGCCUGCACACAGAAUCAGGCAGGCAAAUGGGAAGGAGUUCAGUUCAACCAGAGGCAAAGGUGGAUCCCAGAGACAGGAGUAAGGAGGGCGGGUCACAGCCAGGUCUGGGCCACCUCUCUCCCAGUUCCCUUUGUGAUGAGUGGCCAGAGUGACCUGGGAAUGAGGGCCUCAUUAACCCUGCAGCCUCAGCCUGGCCCCCCACUCACCCAGGAAGUUUCACAGGAGCCUGGUGGCAGUCACCACUGCAAGAGGGGAGCACAGGGAGGCCAAGCCAGGCUCAGCAGCCUCCCUCCCCACCAUGGCUCUCCAGAGACGAACAUGAACUCGUUGGAACUGGGCAUGCUAACUCAGGCAGCAGGGACAAAGGACAACCUCCACUGACAGGACCCUCAGGAGACUGUGAUCUUGCAACUUACCUGUAUCCACGUGCACAGAAUGAGCCUUAGCUUAAGGAAACAGGGUACCCCACUUAACCAUGCGAAGCCAGCAGCCUGCCCGAGGGUCACGUUUGCUCCCUGGUCCUGCCCCAGGUCCCAGGCAGCAAACACCUCAGCAUCCUCCCCAAGGAGCAAAGCUAGUCUUGCUAAGGACGUACCUGGGUUUAUGGGUUGGUUCCUUGGCUUCUCUCAGGCCAAACCAGCUACUCUUGGUCUUUUCCUCCCCACUGGAUGAGUGGUGGGGGGAGGCCCCCAGGGCAGGACCUCCCUUUUCCCCCACAGAGCUGCGGCGUCCCAGCUCGCUCCGACUCAGCCCCUGGUGGUGGUGGAAGAGGCCCAUCCGGGGCUUCCGCUCUUCCUUUCGAGCUCCCUCCUUCUCUACCACAGCCUCAGAGGAGGCCACCAUCGGUGUGGCAACCUGGACCGGCUUUCCUUCUGGAUGCCGGACCCCUUCCAUGUCUCCAGAAUGGCUAGCCCCAGUGGCCAAUACUUUGGCUUGAGUGCCCAAGUCCUCUUGUCCAGGCGCCACCUCCGAGCUGCUGGUGCCACGGCUGCCUCUGCCCCAGGAGUCCUCCGAGGACGGAGGCACCUCCUCAGAGGGCCGGGAAGAGACACCAGGCAGGGAGCUGGAGGGUGGGAAUGGGCCUGAGAUGGAACUGCGGUGCCGCAAGGGGGCCUGGGGCUCCUCGUUGUAGAUGUGGCUCCCAUUGACACAGAGGGAAGAGCGGGAGGCAGCAUCAAGGUGGCCCUGGAGGUCGAGAAGGGCCCGGGGAGGAGCCACACGCAUCUGGCUAGCCUCAUCGCUGUAGGUCCUCUUGUGAGAGAGCAGCUUGGGAGACUGUGUGGAAUCCCUGCCUGAAAAGGAGACAUAACUGUAGUUAGCACAGGGAAGGGAGCCCCAUUUCCCAGCCCCAGGUCUUCUUUACCAGGGGGAGAGCCUGCCCUCCCCGUCCCUUCCCCAGGGCAUGUGACCCCAGCUCCCUCACCCUCAGUGGACAGCCAGCUGCUGCGGCUGGGAGAGCGGGUGAGAAGCUCAGCACCAGGGCCCUGGUAGGCCAGGCUCCCGCUGGCCGAGGACAAGGUGCUGUCUGAGCCCAGCGAGGUAUUGGACUGGGUCAGGGAUGACUUGCGCAGCUUGUUUCGGAGGAAAAAGCCUUUAGCUUUGCCCAUCUUGCCCAGGCUGCCCAGCUCUGGAUCCUCGAGGGCACUACUUGGGAGGAUGGCAGAGGAAGAUUCCAGAUCAAACUUCUUCUUGCCCUUCAUCUUGUCCUUGAGCUUGCUGAAGGGGGACCGUGGCUUGUCCUUCAUGGACAGGUCAAACAUGCUGGCGCUCAAGUUGUU